UGGGGAAUAUUGCACAAUGGGCGCAAGCCUGAUGCAGCCAUGCCGCGUGUAUGAAGAAGGCCUUCGGGUUGUAAAGUACUUUCAGCGAGGAGGAAGGCGUUGUGGUUAAUAACCGCAACGAUUGACGUUACUCGCAGAAGAAGCACCGGCUAACUCCGUGCCAGCAGCCGCGGUAAUACGGAGGGUGCAAGCGUUAAUCGGAAUUACUGGGCGUAAAGCGCACGCAGGUGGUCUGUCAAGUCGGAUGUGAAAUCCCCGGGCUCAACCUGGGAACUGCAUCCGAAACUGGCAGGCUAGAGUCUUGUAGAGGGGGGUAGAAUUCCAGGUGUAGCGGUGAAAUGCGUAGAGAUCUGGAGGAAUACCGGUGGCGAAGGCGGCCCCCUGGACAAAGACUGACGCUCAGGUGCGAAAGCGUGGGGAGCAAACA
rnacentral:rRNA from 1 species